GACGAAAUCUCACUAUGUUGCCCAGGCUUGUCUUGAAAUUCUGGGCUCAAAUGAUCCUCUUGCCUCAGCCUCCCAAGAUGUUGGGAUUACAAGCAUUAGCUGCUGCACCUGACCUCCUUUUUUUUUUUUUAACUGGAAAUCAGGAACUAAGACAUUUGCACACCAAUGUUCACAGCAACACUCUUCACAAAAACCAAAAGAUUCGGGGGCACGUGUGCAGGUUUGUUAUGUGAGUAUAUUGCAUGGUGCUAAGGUUUGGGUUUCUAAUGAUCCCGUAGCCCAAGCAGUGAACAUUGCACUCAAUAGACAGUUUUUCAACCUUUUCCCUCUCCCUUCCUCUCACUUUUGGAGCCCCCAGUCUUCAUUGUUCCCAUCUUUGUGUCCAGCUGCACCCAAUGCUUAGCUCUCACUUAUAAGUAGAACAUGUGGCAUUUGGUUUUCUAACUCUCUUCCCUCUACCAUUCCCCUCAAUUUUAAUAUAGUGGAACUGAAAAAAAAUUGCAAAAGAGCAACUGGCAGCCCCAAGUGUGUUGGAGGGUAUUCCUGCCUUUUCUGAUCUGCCUGCUCUCCUGGAGGGGUUGGGGCGGGCCGGGGGGGGGCGCUGGUUAUGAAUUAACUGGGCACAUAUAAAGCCAAUGAUACCAGAAAAGUUGCAAUUGCAGCAAACACCUCCCACCACAUACCUGCCAGGACUAACUUCAAAAGGCUGCAUAUUGGGAGGCCAAAGUGGGCGGAUCACGAGGUCAGGAGAUCGAGACCAUCCUGGCUAACACAGUGAAACCCCGUCUCUACUAAAAAUACAAAAAAUUAGCCGGGUGUGGUGGCGGGAGCCUGUACUCCUAGCUACUCGGGAGGCUGA
rnacentral:lncRNA from 1 species